rnacentral:rRNA from 1 species
UACGUAGGGUGCAAGCGUUAUCCGGAAUUAUUGGGCGUAAAGAGCUCGUAGGCGGUUUGUCGCGUCUGCUGUGAAAACCCGAGGCUCAACCUCGGGCCUGCAGUGGGUACGGGCAGACUAGAGUGCGAUAGGGGAGAUUGGAAUUCCUGGUGUAGCGGUGGAAUGCGCAGAUAUCAGGAGGAACACCGAUGGCGAAGGCAGAUCUCUGGGCCGUAACUGACGCUGAGGAGCGAAAGCGUGGGGAGCGAACAGG